rnacentral:rRNA from 1 species
AGAGUUUGAUCAUGGCUCAGAUUGCACGCUGGCGGCAGGCUUAACACAUGCAAGUCGAACGGUAACAGGGAGAAGCUUGCUUCUUUGCUGACGAGUGGCGGACGGGUGAGUAAUGCUUGGGAAUCUGGCUUAUGGAGGGGGAUAACUACGGGAAACUGUAGCUAAUACCGCGUAAUAUCUUCGGAUUAAAGGGUGGGACUUUCGGGCCACCUGCCAUAAGAUGAGCCCAAGUGGGAUUAGGUAGUUGGUGGGGUAAAGGCCUACCAAGCCGACGAUCUCUAGCUGGUCUGAGAGGAUGACCAGCCACACUGGAACUGAGACACGGUCCAGACUCCUACGGGAGGCAGCAGUGGGGAAUAUUGCACAAUGGGGGGAACCCUGAUGCAGCCAUGCCGCGUGAAUGAAGAAGGCCUUCGGGUUGUAAAGUUCUUUCGGUGAUGAGGAAGGUGUUUGUUUUAAUAGAACAAGCAAUUGACGUUAGUCACAGAAGAAGCACCGGCUAACUCCGUGCCAGCAGCCGCGGUAAUACGGAGGGUGCGAGCGUUAAUCGGAAUGACUGGGCGUAAAGGGCACGCAGGCGGUGACUUAAGUGAGAUGUGAAAGCCCCGAGCUUAACUUGGGAAUUGCAUUUCAUACUGGGUCGCUAGAGUAUUUUAGGGAGGGGUAGAAUUCCACGUGUAGCGGUGAAAUGCGUAGAGAUGUGGAGGAAUACCGAAGGCGAAGGCAGCCCCUUGGGAAUAUACUGACGCUCAUGUGCGAAAGCGUGGGGAGCAAACAGGAUUAGAUACCCUGGUAGUCCACGCUGUAAACGCUGUCGAUUUGGGGAUUGGGCUUUAAGCUUGGUGCCCGUAGCU